rnacentral:sRNA from 1 species
UAUCUCUCCGUACGGGGAAGGAUGAGAAGCUUCGACUAAGGUUCGAUUCGAGCGCAGCGAGAAAGCGUUGCCGUAGGCAACGACCCGAAGGGCGAAGGGCGAAGCGCGCAGCGCUGAGUAAUCCUUCCCCCGUCAUCC